ensembl:lncRNA
GAUUAGUUGUAUUGUUGACUGUGCAAAUGUGCUAGUCUGCAAUAAUUGUUAAAUUAACUUAAUCUACAGUCAUGUUUUGUGAGAUUAUUGGUUCGUCUGGCUAGUGCAGUUUUGGCUUUACUCUCUCAAUAAUGCACGUUAUUGUCUAUCGCCAAAGCCUGAAUAACAUAAAUUUGUAGCUGCUGUCCUGAUUAAGCUUGUCUUUUGUCAGAAUCUGCUUCAUAGCAUGAUUUUGACAGAGGAAGAGGAUGAGCAAGACAGACUGAGGGAGAGGAAGAACGACAGUAUAGCAGGAUUAGAAUCAAGGGACUGCUUCGCCAGCAGGGUGGUGUGAGGUGAAAAUAAGGGAAGGAGAAUUUCAUUUGCAUACCCAGCAUGUCACCCGGACCUUUCCGGAGAGCUGCGCCUAUCCACCGCCGAGCUUGGCAAAUUCAGAGCCUCAUUUGUUUUGGACUCCUCCAAAUAGCUUGGUUCUUCUGGGAUGUGUGUGAUCUCUGGAGAAGACCUAGAUACAAGAAACAAAGAACUCCUCUGCCUGAAGGAUCCAAGUCAAACCAAUCUGUUACAAGUAACAUUUCAUUAUCUCUUCAGAUACAAACCACAAGGUCCCGCAAAUAGAGGCCUAUUUUUCCGGCUCUGCUAAUAGAAUUGAAUUUCACAGAGUGUAACUUAAAUUAGACAUUCCAUAGCAGCCCUGAAUGGCAGAAAUAAUCGGCAUGGGUGACUAAUUUGGCAGAGCGUGUGCUAAGUACACAAAUCCCCUUUUUUCCACCCCUCGCCCGAGGUUUGCGAAGAGCGGCGCACAACCCACAGACAAAGGCAACACGCGGCUCAUAAAAAUUAACAUAGUAAAUGACCUGGAGAGGAAGGCACAAUAAAUAAUCUGAUCUUAUCA